UGGGGAAUCUUGGACAAUGGGCGCAAGCCUGAUCCAGCCAUGCCGCGUGGAUGAUGAAGGCCUUAGGGUUGUAAAAUCCUUUCGUUGGGGACGAUAAUGACGGUACCCAAAGAAGAAGCUCCGGCUAACUUCGUGCCAGCAGCCGCGGUAAUACGAAGGGGGCUAGCGUUGUUCGGAUUUACUGGGCGUAAAGCGCGUGUAGGCGGACUUGUAAGUUGGGGGUGAAAUCCCGAGGCUCAACCUCGGAACUGCCUCCAAAACUACAAAUCUGGACCUAAGUAGAGGCAAGUGGAAUUGCGAGUGUAGAGGUGAAAUUCGUAGAUAUUCGCAGGAACACCAGUGGCGAAGGCGACUUGCUGGACUUAUGGUGACGCUGAGACGCGAAAGCGUGGGGAGCAAACAGGAUUAGAUACCCGGGUAGUCCCUGAGCGGGCUGGCAAGGCGCAU
rnacentral:rRNA from 1 species